rnacentral:rRNA from 1 species
ACACAUGCAAGUCGAACGAUGAAGCCCAGCUUGCUGGGUGGAUUAGUGGCGAACGGGUGAGUAACACGUGAGUAACCUGCCCCCGACUCUGGGAUAAGCCCGGGAAACUGGGUCUAAUACCGGAUAUUACCUCUUGCCGCAUGGCAGGUGGUGGAAAGAUUUAUCGGUGGGGGAUGGACUCGCGGCCUAUCAGCUUGUUGGUGAGGUAAUGGCUCACCAAGGCGACGACGGGUAGCCGGCCUGAGAGGGUGACCGGCCACACUGGGACUGAGACACGGCCCAGACUCCUACGGGAGGCAGCAGUGGGGAAUAUUGCACAAUGGGCGAAAGCCUGAUGCAGCGACGCCGCGUGAGGGAUGACGGCCUUCGGGUUGUAAACCUCUUUCAGUAGGGAAGAAGCGAAAGUGACGGUACCUGCAGAAGAAGCGCCGGCUAACUACGUGCCAGCAGCCGCGGUAAUACGUAGGGCGCAAGCGUUAUCCGGAUUUAUUGGGCGUAAAGAGCUCGUAGGCGGUUUGUCGCGUCUGCCGUGAAAGUCCGAGGCUCAACCUCGGAUCUGCGGUGGGUACGGGCAGACUAGAGUGAUGUAGGGGAGACUGGAAUUCCUGGUGUAGCGGUGAAAUGCGCAGAUAUCAGGAGGAACACCGAUGGCGAAGGCAGGUCUCUGGGCAUUUACUGACGCUGAGGAGCGAAAGCAUGGGGAGCGAACAGGAUUAGAUACCCUGGUAGUCCAUGCCGUAAACGUUGGGCACUAGGUGUGGGGGACAUUCCACGUUUUCCGCGCCGUAGCUAACGCAUUAAGUGCCCCGCCUGGGGAGUACGGCCGCAAGGCUAAAACUCAAAGGAAUUGACGGGGGCCCGCACAAGCGGCGGAGCAUGCGGAUUAAUUCGAUGCAACGCGAGAACCUUACCAAGGCUUGACAUGUGCCAGACCGCUUCAGAGAUGGAGUUUCCCUUCGGGGCUGGUUCACAGGUGGUGCAUGGUUGUCGUCAGCUCGUGUCGUGAGAUGUUGGGUUAAGUCCCGCAACGAGCGCAACCCUCGUUCCAUGUUGCCAGCACGUAGUGGUGGGGACUCAUGGGAGACUGCCGGGGUCAACUCGGAGGAAGGUGGGGAUGACGUCAAAUCAUCAUGCCCCUUAUGUCUUGGGCUUCACGCA